UUGAACAACACUCCUAUUCAUCCUUCAAAUCUCAACUUGAAGGUCACUUCCUCUGUAAAGGCUUUCUAAUUACUCCUUCCUCUUUCCCCUCGGGCCCUCCCAAUUACUCCCUCUUUGCUGAGCAUACUGUGUUUAAAUACUUUGUUAAUAUGAGAUACAACGGGCAGGAAAUUGAGGAAGAGUUUUAUCUAUGUAUGACCCUGCUUAUUAAGGAGCUGAACUCCAAGUCUUUGCUUUGCUUUUAGAAUAGUAAUAAACUAAUUACAUGUGAAUUCCCAGAAGGCAGAAAAUCCCAGCUCCUGGCCAGAAACAAGGGAGGGAAGGAAGGAGAAAUUCUAUAAACAGAUAAAAGGAGAGGGAAAGAAAUCAUUUAUAAGCUUGGUGAUUUUUAUCUUAAUUCUGAGACUUAUUCCAUGUCUGUUUCCCUCUGAUCUGUAAAAACAGAGUGCCUCCUACGAUGUUUCUGAGAUCUGAAACAACUGAAAGAGAUGAUAUUUCUCUUUGUAUAAACCAAUCCACUCUCUGAAUGCCCUGUAGGGGAUUGGGUGGGGCCUGAGUUUAGGGAGGAAAUCAGUCCUCUGUUACUAAGAUCCAAAUAGAUACAGUACCAGAUCUGUGGAGGUUGACUCUCGGGACAGGUUGGAUACCAACCAAGAGGUAGACAGUCAGCUGCACUCAUCAUUUUCCAAGUCUCUAUUCUGUGGGCCUUGAUAGUCACCACAGCAGCCCUAUUGGGCUGCUACUUGGGUCUGAGAACAGAAGAUCAGGAGUAAAGCAGAAAGAGGCAGGACACUGUGCGGUGACCCGGGCCCGGCUGUGCCACGUCCCUGGGCAAGGAGACAGUUGCCUGGCCAGGGGCCCCAGAGGGCUGGGGAUGGGGCAGGCAGUGCUGAUACCUGGGGAUUAGCUCCGUCUGCCCUGAGCUCAAUGGAAACCCCGCAUCCUUCUCCUCCUGGUGCUGGCCACCCGCAGGUCCUGGCAGCUUCAUGUCCAUCUGGCCAUGAUAUCAAGUCUAAUUUACAUGAGGGACCUGGCGAUCCUCUCAACCGCCCUCUGAGAAGGUGGAUUCUUCACUAGCUGACCCACCAGGGAAGCACUUUAAGAAGGCCUACAUGUUGCUUGAAACCAACCAGCCCACAGCCCUCUUACACUGUGGGUUUUGCAGACAAGGGAAUGCACAGUGAAGUUCCGUCUCAGAGGUAGUGAUGCCGUUCGCUUGGAUCCCCAAAGUGGAUGGGGUGUCUGCCACCCCAGCAGACAGGCUGCCCACUGUGAGUGUGCGCAGAGUUUCACCCAGGGGAUGAAGCAGGACGCACACGGCGGGUUCCCUCGGCAUGUCCUGCCUCCUCUGGCUCCCGGAAGGCAGGGCCUGGCCUUACUUCUUCCCUGUUCUCAACAUCCAGCACGGAAUCUGCCAAAGGGCAGGUGCUCAACAGAUGCUCCCUGAAGGGAUAUAAUAAGUCUGUUUUCAGAAUUCCAUUAUGACUGGAUCAUGGCUGGCCCAUCGUCUCUUUUCUCCUUUACAGGGAUGAGCUCAUGGAAUGUUCCCCAGUCCCCAGCAGCUCACCGGCUGAAGGAGGAAACAGAGCUGGGCUCCGUCUUAGGCCAGGCUGUGAACAUCAGGCCACACGCAUGGUCACCCGCCCAGUGGACUCUGAACUUUGCACCCGGUGUCUAUAGACGUGGCAGACCAAUGGGAAACCGGACCCUCAGGACUUGUGCUUGUUCUCUCCGUUGCCUGAAAGAAUAUGCUAAUUAUCUCUAAGUGUGUGAUGGACUGAUUCUGGGGAAGCACAGGCCCAGGCUGAGUUGCCAUGUGUUGACUGGUUUGCCGGGAUAAAAGAGCUAAGUACAGAGCCGCAGCCCCUUUGCUCUGGAAUGAGGAGACAUUAAUGACAUUUCUACUACCUUCUCAUCAGCCUCCUCCUCCCAUAUGUAUCCUGUAUUCCUCUUCUCUAUGUCUAAAACAUUUCAAUUCCUUUCUUAUCACACCCCCGGCCUUGAUUUCUAUCACAUCUGGAAUAUAGAGCCCAAAUGAAGCUAGAGUUGGGGGUCUAGUGCCUUUUGGCCUAGGAUUCCAAAGUUUGAGGUCCAUAUUUACCCUACUGGGCAGCUCUUGAACAAGCUCAGGUCUCCAACCCCUCUUCGCAUCCACCGUUCAGAUUCUAGAGGAAGGACCUUGGAUAUUCAGUGGGGGUGUACUCACAGCCUGCUUCUUGGUCAGUCUUGAAAUGGGGUAACUUCUGUUCUUUCUGAUUUUUCUGGUCUUAGUGAUUGACUCACUGCCCUGGGAAUCUUUGUUUCUCACAGAGGUUGCUGAGACCAAGGGUGAUGACAAGUGUUAAUGAUUCAGAGCCUGUCCCCUGUCGCCUCAGACUCACGUUGGACCAGGCUGUGUGAACACACACCCACAGCACAUGUAGUUGGCUAUCCUGAUGCCUCAGCUCCUUGUUAGCCUGGCCGUCCAGUGGGGAGUGCUGGAGGGCUCAGUGCUUGUAUACUAGAGAUGCCUUGGCAUGAGCCUAGGGUAGAAGUCUUCAUCUGGCUGCAGUGGAAAGAGAUGCUCAUGAAUCUACCUCAGGAGGGCAGGUGGCCUUGUCUUUGGCCCACCAGCUUUGACAGCUGCAUUACCACUUCCCUUGUGGCUCAGAUGGUACAGAGGUGACAAUGAUGAUGAAGACGAGGAGGAAGAUGUGAUCUGAGUGUCUGACCAAGUAACACCAUGCACUGACUUGAUGUCAGAAUGAAGUCUCACCAGGACCGCCUUCUGAAAUGGAACUUCCAGAAACAGCAGACAGACUGCUGAUCAGCCAUCCCAGAAAAAAGAAAAGUCGCCCAUAGACCAGCCAGGCCUCUGAUCACACGAAUGAAUGCUACGUUUCCAAAGAAACCGAAAUCAGCAUGGAAAAUUUCUCUUGCAGAAAGAUCCGAGCUCAUGGUAUACCUGGUUACCUGAUGAAAAGGAAUCAUUCCCCCUCCCCCCAAACAAUGUUCACCAAUACUGGCUCAUGUGAUUUUCAUAAUGAACCGAGGCUGUGGGCUGUGGA